rnacentral:misc_RNA from 1 species
GGGCCGACCAGACGGUGUAUCUGCUGGCGGACGGCUUCGGAGACGAGCUGACGUUCCGGGUCCGAUCCAUUCCCGUCGAUCCGGCUCCCAACGAUGCGUUCGCGGAUGCCACCUCCGUCGGUCAACGGGGACUGCCCUUCUCGCAGACGCUGGACGUGCGCCCGGCGACGAGCGCCCACCGCGAUCCCGACUGCAUGGGUGCUCGCAAUACGGUCUGGUACGCGUUCACGCCCAAGUUCACCAUGCGUGCCGAGGUCUCAACCGCAGGCAGCGCCUUCGACACCGCCCUUGCCGCCUUCGAGUUUAUCGACGGCGAGCUCGCGUUCAUCGCGUGCCGCGAUGACGAUCUCGAGCCCGACCCCGCGCACGGGUUCGGGCUCCCAGCCGAACGCGUCCGCUUCCAAGCGAAGGCGGGCCACAGCUACAGGCUUAUGGUCGGCGCAGUCGACGACCCUUCGCUAUUGCAGUUCUCCAUCCGAGAGCACGUGCCCGUUCGGAUAGAUUCAACCGGACACGUGAACGACGCCGGAGAGGCGGUGAUCACGGGCACGGUGCACUGCUCCCACCCGCUCGAAGGCCUCGC